rnacentral:rRNA from 1 species
UGGAUGAUGUGGAUUAAUUCGAUGCAACGCGAAAAACCUUACCUACCCUUGACAUGUCUGGAACCUUGGUGAGAGCCGAGGGUGCCUUCGGGAGCCAGAACACAGGUGCUGCAUGGCUGUCGUCAGCUCGUGUCGUGAGAUGUUGGGUUAAGUCCCGCAACGAGCGCAACCCUUGUCACUAGUUGCCAUCAUUUGGUUGGGCACUCUAGUGAGACUGCCGGUGACAAACCGGAGGAAGGUGGGGAUGACGUCAAGUCCUCAUGGCCCUUAUGGGUAGGGCUUCACACGUCAUACAAUGGUCGGUACAGAGGGUUGCCAAGCCGCGAGGUGGAGCCAAUCCCUUAAAGCCGAUCGUAGUCCGGAUCGUAGUCUGCAACUCGACUACGUGAAGUCGGAAUCGCUAGUAAUCGUGGAUCAGAAUGUCACGGUGAAUACGUUCCCGGGUCUU